GCGGAUAUGGCGGAAUUGGCAGACGCGCAAGAUUCAGGUUCUUGUGAGCACUAGUUCAUGCAGGUUCAAGUCCUGUUGUCCGCACCA
rnacentral:tRNA from 1 species